rnacentral:rRNA from 1 species
UCCUACGGGAGGCAGCAGUGGGGAAUUUUGCGCAAUGGGGGAAACCCUGACGCAGCAACGCCGCGUGGGUGAUGAAGGCCUUCGGGUCGUAAAGCUCUGUCUGGAGGGAAGAAAUGAUUGGGAGCUAAUACCUCUUGAUCUUGACGGUACCUCUGAAGGAAGCACCGGCUAACUCCGUGCCAGCAGCCGCGGUAAU